rnacentral:rRNA from 1 species
AUAUCAAUAAGCGGAGGAAAAGAAACUAACAAGGAUUCCCCUAGUAACUGCGAGUGAAGCGGGAAAAGCUCAAAUUUAGAAUCUGGCAGCCUACGGUUGUCCGAGUUGUAGCCUAGAGAAGCGUUUUCUGCGUUGGACCAUGUACAAGUCCCUUGGAACAGGGCGUCAUAGAGGGUGAGAAUCCCGUACUUGACAUGGACUCCCAGGGCUAUGUGAUGCGCUCUCGAAGAGUCGGGUUGUUUGGGAAUGCAGCUCUAAAUGGGUGGUAAAUUCCAUCUAAAGCUAAAUAUUGGCGAGAGACCGAU